rnacentral:rRNA from 1 species
CAAUAGCGUAUAUUAAAGUUGUUGCAGUUAAAAAGCUCGUAGUUGAAUUUUUGCUUGCCGCCGAUGUCGGAACUUCCGUACGUUCGGCGGCGUGCAUCCUUGGGUGGAACCUGUGUGGCAUUAGGUUGUCGUGCAGGGGAUGCUCAUCGUUUACUGUGAAAAAAUUAGAGUGUUCAAAGCAGGCUUAUGCCGUUGAAUAUAUUAGCAUGGAAUAAUAAGAUAGGACCUUGGUACUAUUUUGUUGGUUUGCGCACCGAGGUAAUGAUUAACAGGGACAGUUGGGGGUAUUCGUAUUCCAUUGUCAGAGGUGAAAUUCUUGGAUUUCUGGAAGACGAACUACUGCGAAAGCAUUUACCAAGGAUGUUUUCAUUAA